CAAAAAAAAAGCUAUUUUAUUUUAUUACUUAAAUAAAAAAACUGUUUUAAAAUCAUUUGAUUUUUGCAUUUAGAAAAAAAACCUAAUGCUCCCAAAUCUCUUUCCCUUUUCUCUCCAGCCGAAAAGCUAUGUUCAAGCUUUCAACCGCCCGCUUGUACCGGAGAAGUAAGGCCCUCCAAUGGUGCGAGCACGAUGCGCGAUAAGUUUAUUCUCCUCUCUUUGAUCCUUCGCAUGUGUUGUGGAUCCAAAUGGAAAAAAGAAAAAAGAGGAAAAAUAGAAUAAAAUUGCCGUAAAUAAUCACCUUAAAAUUGCAGGUAUGGCGAACGUGGUUCGAAGUGCAAGGAUGUGGGGCGGGCAAUACGCGAGUCAAGGGGUCGUGUGUGGGGCGUGCGUUGGUGGCUGCUGAUGGCUGCGGCGCAAGGCAAAUAGAACCCUAGAGCUUGCUGUUUCUGAAAACGAUUUGGGCCAUUGGGCUUGUAAUCAAGUAUUGGGCCAUUGCAAAGUUUUGGGCCUAGUGUAACUAUAUUUGGGAUUGUUUUUUUUUGUUUUAUUUUUUCUAUAUAUGUAUGGGCUCGUAUAAAAGUUUCUCAAA